rnacentral:rRNA from 1 species
ACUGGCGACCGGCGCACGGGUGAGUAACACGUAUCCAACCUGCCGAUAACUCGGGGAUAGCCUUUCGAAAGAAAGAUUAAUGCCCGAUGGUAUAAUCAGACCGCAUGGUCUUGUUAUUAAAGAAUUUCGGUUAUCGAUGGGGAUGCGUUCCAUUAGGCAGUUGGUGAGGUAACGGCUCACCAAACCUUCGAUGGAUAGGGGUUCUGAGAGGAAGGUCCCCCACAUUGGAACUGAGACACGGUCCAA